UAUAUGUUUUGAGUUAAAAAAAAAAUUGUCCUAAAUAAAGCUCCUUUGCUUCUAGAUGAAAAAGACAAGAGACAAACUAACAGGGACACUGAACGUUGCGGCAAGUCUGUGAAAACGGGGCCCUAGAAGGGUUUUGUGCAUGGUCGGGCUGAGAUUCAACUUCAGUAGUCUACAGUUUUGGUGACCAUUUACGAAGGGACCCAGAGCAGACUCCUCUCCUUCGCCUGGACUCUAUGAGGACUUGGAGCCUUGGUACCAGCACAGGCCUCUUGGGCCCAUCUGACUUUUCGGAGAGUCCAAAUUUGGGACUGGAUCACACUGGCACCUGCCGCCUGACUCUGCUUGGAUUAAAUCACGAGCCGCUGCAGCUGCGGACCUCCAACAUGCCCUGAGAGGAGUUCGGGGUGCAGGUCAGGAAUGAAGCGCUCUGUGCUCUGAGAAAACCAGCUGAACAGGCCUUCAGAUAGAUAGAUAUUUCUAGGAGAAGAUUUUAUGACCCCAAUUCUUGCGUCUCCUCAUAUCUAGAAAAGCACUAAAAUCAUUAACGGUGACAUGUGCUCCUCGUGAUGGGCAGCGGCCUCUGCCUGAGUGUGCGCCUGAAUGCACGGCCCCCCCUCGCUGACAUCACAUGUAAUCCUGCGUCCUCCCCCUGCCUCUUUGGAAUAGUUUCCCAGAGCUUUCUGGGAUGCUGUCUCCUGGGCUAUAGUCCUGAUUUUGCCCCAAACAAAACUUAACCCACAACUCUCACGUUGUGUGAUUUUUAUUUCAGUCAACAUUUCCUAGUUUUCACAGGAAAUUAAGAAUUUUAAGAGCUGUGUUCUAAUUUAAAUGUAUAAUUAAAGCUACUACAAAUAAUGAAGAAAACACUUUACAAUAUAGUACAAAAAUAGGGUGUAUGUUUUCAGCAAAAGAAGUUAUAAAGGAUGAAACUGCAUUUUGUUACUUAGAGCUGAUUGUUUCUAGAUGGGAGAAAUAAAGGACAAAAUAAUGUGGACACAAAAAGUGAUGGAAGGCUUGUGGAGAAGGAAUCCUGAGAAAAGACUUUUGCGUACAGUUGGAAUUGACUAAACUUAGUCUAAGAAAAUGGAUUUUGUUUAAAAGUAAGUUGGAACAAGACUGUUAGGAGACCAAAGUUUGAGUGCUACUUUUUGAUAACAGAUCAUGUGUGCCUUUAACUGCUUUGUAUCCGUUUUUGAAACCACUGUCACUAUGGUUGAGUAAAUAAGUGGUAUUUCAGUGACCUAUAAUUUUAUCUGACCAAGUGUUUUGAAACUUUUUAACAAGCUUCCCAAAUACCAAACUUUGAUUAAAGUUCUUCUAACCUUCAGCUAACUUUGGGAUGCUUUAGAGGGCCCCUGAAACACCCCAAAGAGAGAGAUUAGGCUAAUUAGACUUGUUCGGUAUGUUAAAUUACUUAGAAGCAUUGUCAAGUAAUGGGAGAUGGACUUUAGGUUAUAUUGAAGAGAUAAAGGACAUUAAUACAGAUAUUCCAAAAUUUAUUUGGCAUUCUUAAAAAUCUGAUAUGUCCUGGUAUCAGUCAUAAUUCUAAUUAUGAUCUUAGAAUGUUGUAGGUCACAGAAAUAUCCAAGUUGCUUGUCAGUGGCAUUGCAAUCAAAUCUGUAACUGUGCCAUUUUAAGUCUUGUCAUUUAUACUAACAAUCAUUGUUUUACUCUGAUCCUUUUAUAAAAUGAAGACUUUCAGGAAGAUUCAUAAAAAGGGACUUUUAAACAAAUAUAAGUUUCUGAUAAUCUUUUGCUUACACCACUGAACUGGGUAAAUUAUAAAACUAAUGGAACACCUGAUGACUUCAUCAAGAUAAACAGGAAUUAAGUAAAUGGGACUGAAUGAACUGGUAAAUAUGAUUUGAUCAUCUUAUGACUUUUGAUAAGCAUACUGGUCUUUAAUUUUUAUUUUCCAGAAAGCCUUUCCUCUUAUUCUGUGACCUACAAGUUGAUAAAUGUUUUAUCCUUAUUUACAGAGGCAUACUUUAUCUUUUUCUUUCUGCCUGAUCCUUCCAGAAUCUGACUUCUCCAUCUGGCUCUCCUGUGGACUUGAGGGUUAUUGCAACCAGAUUACAAUCUGGUCAUACUAAUCAUUGUUUUAAUUUGUUCUUCGUUUCUAAAUUGUUAUGCUUUGUAUGACUUUAUUAACGUUACUAACUGUGUUACUUAUAUCUUAUUUUUUUAAAUUGUCCUUGGCUGCCUUUAUUUUCCUUUUUUUUUUAAAUGAGGGGGAGGUAAUUAGGUUUGUUUAUUUAUUUAUUUAUAUUUGGAGGGGGUCCUGGGGGUUGGAGGGGGUCCUGGGGGUUGAAGCCAGGACGCUGUGCGUGCUAAGCGUGCGCUCUGCCACUUGAGCCACACCUUCCCCCAUCCUAUCUAUUUUAUAAGAUUGUCUUUUCCGUUAUCCAAUGUGUGAGUAGGCCUCCGACAAGAUUAAUGAUGACUGAACAUCUUGAGAAAAUAAAUCACAUUUAUAACCCUGCAUAGAAUAAUUGUCAGAGUGAUUCUAGGUAUAGGAAAGAGCAACGAGGGAAAAACGUUUCCUGGAUCAUAAGACUAGUAAGACAGGUGAUCCAGAGAAUUUAUGGUUAUCAACAGGGACUGAUCCAAAAAUUAGCACCUUGAAUGGCAUGUCAACAGAAACCUCACCUGACCUAGGAAUAAACCUGCCUAGUCCCAUGGGACAAAACUGGUCAUGAAUUGUCUCCCAAAAUAUUGGUCAAAUUUAGGACCAAGGGGGAGCACUGUGAACGAAAAGUACUGCAAGCUUAUCAGUGAACAAAGAAUGCUGUGGCCAUCAAGUCAGGCCACUACCGCCAACUCGGGAUGCAGACAAGCAGGCAGCCCGGCCUCUGCGGCCGCCCCCAGUGGCAUCCCCCCGGGGGAUUCAGGGUGGGGAAGCACAGGACACUGGCCCUAGGUAGGUAAGAGCAGAGCAAAGGAAUGAUUUCAGUGAGCCCAGACAUUCGCACCUUCCCAGACAUAGAAAAGCACUGAAUUCUUUAACUUGAGAUGUCUGGCUUUCUUUAACAGUAAUUUUUUUCCUGUUCCAACUCCCUCAUCUUUAUUGUAAAAACUCCUGUACAUCCUGGCUCCGCCCCUGCCUCUUCAGAGCAGACCCUCAGUGACCUGAGAGGCUGGCAUCCGGGGCUUAAGACCUCAGAAAUGUCCGCCGAAUAAAACGUAACUCUCAGCUUUUAGGUUGUGCAUUUUAUUUCAGUCAACAGCCUCCUCAGAUGAUAUGGUGUAAAUGUUAACAUAGACAAUCUGGAAAUUGUAUAAGGUUUCUGAGAUGUAGAUAUGGCUUGGUGUUAUGCCAUCAGUCACGAUUCUAGUUAUUCUAGUCACAUUCUAGUUUCAGUCUAGUCAUUGUCUUAAAACGCUGUGUGCCACAGCAACUUGAUUAAGUUUCUUUCUCAGAAACACCGUAGCCAGAUCUUUAACCUCGCCUUUUUAAGUCUUUCGUUAUUUGUAAACAGCUAAACUGGUGCUUUGCAAAACUGCUUCAUCUUCAGUAAGAUUCACAAAAAGGACUUCCUGACAAGCACAGGUUUCUGUUAAAUCACACUCCUGGACUGGGUAAGAUGUUUGAAAAGUCUGCUGAAAACUAUGAUUUCAUAAAACUGUUAGUAAAAAGGAUUAAUUACAUAGGAAUGAGUUAACAGGUGAAUAUGGGUAUACUUUUUUGGUUUUGUCCGAAAUACUACUGGCUUUUAAUAUAUUAUUUUCUCAUUGAGUUAUCAGAUGUUUAUCAAUAUUGAAAGUUAUUUUACUUCCAACCAUGUUGUUGCCCUCAGUGUUUAGGACAGAAAGAGAAUUCUCUAGUGGAGCUGUCACAGUGUAACUGCUCACGACGUAUAACGGGGCCUGCGCUACGUCUGUUGCUAAAAGCACAUGUACGACGCUUGUGGAACAACUGGGUGUAAGUGAUAAAAUGUAAAGCCAAUAACGUGCUUCCCCAUCAGCACACCUCUGAGCGUGUCCACCAUCUCUGACUAGUUCUCCCCCAGCGCGGAUGACCAGGCAAAUAUAAAGGAGGCCCAGCCCCGAGGGACGUGACCUGAACCUGGGGCAGGAGCCAUCACCCCCAUCAGUGCUGAGGGACAGGUAUUUUGAUCAUCAAUGCCUUCUACUGAAAGAUUUGCAAUCAAAACGAGAAAUGAUGGGAAAAUCUGCACACAGUGAGGUAUGGGGAAGUCAUUCUGGCCUACACACAGUUAAACUUCACUGAUCAAAGUGGCCUGUUGUUCCGGCCUUUUCGACAUGGAUUGUACAUCUGCUUUGACCUUGAGGAGGGGAAUGUGUUUGAACAUCGAAAUGGAGUAGCUGUGCUUCAGACAUUCAAGGUAAAACUCGGUGGCCCCCGGGGGUGUGAUUUCAGACAGGUUCUUGUAUCUCUGAGAACUCAGAUUCUGAGCUGUGUCAUUCUGGGGAGACCACCCACCAUUCUCCAAGCAGUGUAUGCUGGCAGCUGGCACCUGCAACCUUACAACCUUAAGGUCUCUUGUUUUUAACUACUAAACUUUUAGACAAUAAAAUUGUUUUAGAUAAGAUGUUAGCAGAACAAAGGAGAGGCGUAAUGGCAGCAGCUCCUGCUGUAUGUGAAUACAUGUCAGAAGCUGAAACCUACUUAGAUUAAAGCAGACAGCUAGCUACAAUCUCCCACAAAGCGCCAGCCCCAGACUGGUUUUCAGGCUUGGGCCCCUGAAUUCCUCUGGGAAUGAGAUCUGUUUGUCUAUUAAAGUUCUGGUUGUCACUCCAACUACUUGUAAUCAAGUCUGCUGGCACAAAAAGUGGGGAACUAAAGGACUGUGAUCUUAAUCAUACAAGACUCAGAUCCAGGACUUGAAGCUCGGGGGUAUUUUCAAUGUGGUGUCCACCCCCAAACUGAGGCAGGACGAGGCCCUGCUUCGGCAGGAAGUCGCCAGAGCAGGAAGCUUUGGGAAAGGAUAAAACAGGACUGGAGACUGAGACUGUCCCCCUAAAACCGGGCUCCGCUGCCGAGUUUAUUGUUAACCUCUCUGUCCAAAAUGCCAUUCCCUGCCUUGUCCAACACCUGUUCUUAUGAUUGAAGAGUAUCAAGAGAGGGGGACUGUAAACAAGCAGGACCCUGUGGGGCCUUCUCGGGGCAGACCCCUCCCCCCCUCCCCUGUACCCUCUGCUGCGGCUCCUCUCUGCAGUACCCAGAUCACAGUACCCCACCUGAGUUUCCUGAGUUUUUCAGACGCUGAAAACCACCACCACAGGGAAGACGCGAACUACCUGAUGAUGGUCAGGAACACGUGGCCCCAGGCCUGCCGGCGCCUGGGGGUCGGCAGCGUUGGCCGUCCUGCUCCCUCCACAUCAGCUCGCCAGGGAAUCGUGCACGGAGCUAAUGGCCUACCUGCCGCCCGCCUCUCCUCGCUCAGCCCUGCAGUGAACCUGUCUCUGCUCCAGGCUCACGUCGGGCACACGGACGUGCCUUCGGCUGCAUGGGCGCGGAGGGAAGGGAGUAGGUGGUGGAUGCCUGCGGGAAGGACACAGCCCUGCCAGACCGCGGGCACCAUGAACCGGGGCUGAAACUAAUUCCACUUGUCCCACUGACACAUCCAGUCCCAGAGCCGCUCGGCCAACACCUAACCCACUCCCAGGGGACUGCCCCCGGCAGGGCGGGUGCCGGCGGGCCAGUGGGCAGAGCAAAGGCCACAGGCCACCAGGAGGGGGCGGAGUGGGGGCGGGGGUGAGUGCGCCGCCUGCAGCCCCGGGCAGGGCGGGUGCUGCGGCCUCAGGACCCCAGCUCCAGCCCUGCCCCUGGCCCGGGACCUGCAUGACAGCCGGCACCUCCUGCCACUAAAUUCUGUGCAUCUGGCCACCUGCUGGACUGGGAGCCCUGAAGGGCAGGGGCCAGAGCAUUCGUCCGCCAAUGCCUGGCACCCAGCCUGGUGCAAGAUGGCUGUCAGAUGCUCAGUUGAUGUUUACUGCUAAUGGAGCCUAUGUGAAAAAUGAAUCUGUGCAUUUUGUGCCUCUGUCUCAACACGUGCGUUCCUCCCUGUGCUGCAUUUGUAAAACAUGACAACACCUUGGAGGAACUGGGCAGGGAUAAGUAGGGACUGUGUACCCAGGUGGGCUGCAGCCCGGAAGUCGCCCUGCUGGGGUCCAGGCUGGGCUUGCUCUUUGGGCUGGAUGCCUCUGCAGCCAGAGGGGCCCGGACUGCCUGCAGCCAAAGGGGAGGGAGACAGGCCUGCUGGCCCGGCACAAUCUCUCCUGUGCGCUCUGCGGUGGAAACAAAGGGCUGGCACCAGGCGCUCUGUUGUGGACGGGGUGUGUGUGUGUGUGUAUGUGUAUGUGUACCUGUGAGAGGCUGUGUGCACAGGAGUGGGUGUAUGCAAGAGGGAGGGUGCGUGUGAGACAUGUAAUAAAUGUGCAUGUGUGAGUGCACAUGAGUGUGUACUGUGUGUGCCAAUGAGCACUGGGUGUGCAUGGGGUGACACGUGGUUUACAGCUCUGGCUCACGGAGGUGGCUGGGCCCUCCUGGAAGUCCCCUCCGGCUGGCUGAUCGAUCCCAGGCCCCUCGCACCCACUCUACUGAAGCAGGGCUGCCUCCCGACCCUUCUGGGAAGUGGGGGCCCUCCACGCAGGGUCCGCAGUGAAGGGCUGCACACACAGGGAAAGAGCUUCCUUGGGAGCAGCUGCCCUGGUUCGUCCCCUCCCUGCCGCCCUCUGGCCCUGACAGCUCUUCUCCGCCAGGGCCACCUGGCCCAGAGGACGGUGCAGCAGCCGAGGGCCCCGCUGGCAAGUUCACAGGACGGUUCUCUUUAGCCUGGGGACCCCCCAUCUGCAGCCUCUCCGAAACCCCUCCAGAAAUAACCUGUCACCUCCCAGCUGCCCCUCAUGCUUCUGCCUGCAUCCCUCCUCCCUGCGGUGGGGUCACCGCUCCCAGAGCCAGAGCCUCCACAGGGCACUCAGCUUGUGUUCUGUGCUGCCCACCACGCGGGGCGCACCCCGAGCCCGAGGUGGGGAGCCUCCCAGCUCGGAGGAGUGAGGACAAGAGCAGAGCCACCCUGUCCGUGGCACCUGCUUUGGAAUCUCUGACAUUCAGGCCCACCUACCUCGUGA